GAUUGCUACUACUGCGGUAAUGUUUUAUUUACUUUUUUUCGCAUUUGUACUCUGAUUUUAUGGAGAUAUUGUAGAGUUUGGGAGAUACUCCCAUACCCUACAAGUACUGUAGAGUAUUGCAAAUGGGAGUUGUCAAACCUGGGGGGACUGUAUCAAGCAGGCGCCACCUACUGGACACUAGGGUCGAUGCACAUUCCUUUGUAAGUGCAAUUUAGAACACUCUCCUGUCAGAACCAUGUGGCUGACCCAACACAAACAAGUGAUAAAAUAUCAGAAACAUGUUCUUAUUUAUGACUGAUCAGAAUAUUAAGUCAUUGACCCGAUCAUGCAAUUCCCAUGGAUUGUGUUUGACUCAGAAUCAGAAUCAGAACUCCUUCAUUGGUCCUGCAAAUGGGGAUAUCUGUGUGUCACAGCAGCCUAAGGACAGUUCAUUUUAACAAUAACCAAUAACAAUAGUACAGGAAAAAAAAAAAUCACCCCAGGAAGUUAUCAUUCAUAUUUAAUUUCAUUACUUUUAUGGUGAAAAUACAGAACAGAAAUAAAUAACACUUGAGCUGAGGUUUACCUGAAUUCACCUGAUCACAAUAUCAAAACAGGUCAGAGUUGACAGGAAGCAGGAUGCAGCAAAAGACUCCAGGCUGGGACUCGAACUAAGAGCAAAGACAAACCCUCAAUACACCAACUGAGCUGAACAGUAUUGAUUACUGGACUCACAGGUUGGAUCCUCAGAAACCAUGAGCAAAAUGAGUCCCGCCCACAGAUGUUCUGACGAAUCCAGGUGGUGUGCACCAAAAGGGGGCGGUCUCGUUCGUUUCCCGCGUGAAGAUGGUGGAUUUCCCUCCAAAACUUCAGAUGUGUAUUUAAAUGGCUGAUGGAUCUUCACUCUGGUCCCAGCAGCUCUUCUCUGAGGACACGAACACGGUGAACAGUGGGACCUCAGGUUGAACAGCUCUGACCUGUACGGUGAUCAGACCCGGAGAGGAG